AACGAACGCUGGCGGCGUGCCUAACACAUGCAAGUCGAACGAGAAAGGGGCUUCGGCUCCGAGUAAAGUGGCGCACGGGUGAGUAACACGUGGGUAACCUGCCUCUAAGAUUGGGAUAACUCGUCGAAAGAUGAGCUAAUACCGAAUAAGACCACAGUUCCCGCGGGAACAGGGGUCAAAGGUAGCCUCUGCUUGCAAGCUAUCACUUAGAGAUGGGCCUGCGCACCAUUAGCUAGUUGGUAGGGUAACGGCCUACCAAGGCAAAGAUGGUUAGCUGGUCUGAGAGGAUGAUCAGCCACACUGGAACUGAGACACGGUCCAGACUCCUACGGGAGGCAGCAGUGAGGAAUAUUGCGCAAUGGGCGAAAGCUUGACGCAGCAACGCCGCGUGAGUGAUGAAGGCCUUCGGGUCGUAAAGCUCUGUCGGGAGGAACGAAUGCUCCUGAGGUUAACAGCCUCGGGAGGUGACGGUACCUUCAAAGGAAGCACCGGCUAACUCUGU
rnacentral:rRNA from 1 species